CGUGGGGCUGCUGCUGUGGCACUGCACGGAUCUGCGCUGGACACCCCGGCCGCAGGACACGGAGCACUGCGGGAAGGGACACGAGAGAACUUGAAUACAGCAAGAAUGGGUGUUUUGUACCUAAAUUUGGAAGACAGAAGACUGAAACCAGGACAUGUUCAUCCUUAAGAUUUAUGCAUUUUGAAAACAACUCAGAAGGUGGCAAGAAGGCAGAGCCUGGAGAAUCAAAGCAAAAAGCAAACCAGCAGGUAUGUUAGCUGCAAGCUUUGUAGUGAAGCAACUAAUUUCAACCUCCCUCUGCAGGUUC